GGGGAGGUAGCUUAGGGGUUAGAGCAAGGGUGAUCACAUUAAAACAGUGCCUAAGGCGUAGGUUCGAAUCCUACACUCUCCACAA
rnacentral:tRNA from 1 species